rnacentral:rRNA from 1 species
UACGAAGGGUGCAAGCGUUAAUCGGAAUUACUGGGCGUAAAGCGUGUGUAGGCGGGUCGUUAAGUACCUUGUGAAAUCCCCCCGGCUCAACCGGGGGAACGGCUGGGUAUACUGGCGAUCUUGAGCCACCUAGGGGCAGUCGGAACAAGUGGUGGAGCGGUGAAAUGCGUAGAUAUCACUUGGAACGCCAAUGGUGAAAACAGACUGCUGGGGGUGUGCUGACGCUGGAGACACGAAAGCCAGGGGAGCAAACGGG